GACGAACGCUGGCGGCGUGCUUAACACAUGCGAGUCGAACGGAAAGGCCCCUUCGGGGGUACUCGAGUGGCGAACAGGUGAGUAACACGUGAGUAACCUGCCCUUGACUUCGGGAUAACUUCAGGAAACUGGGGCUAAUACCGGAUAGGAAUCCUUGCUGCAUGGUGGGGGUUGGAAAGCUUCGGCGGUUUUGGAUGGACUCGCGGCUUAUCAGCUUGUUGGUGGGGUAGUGGCUUACCAAGGCUUUGACGGGUAGCCGGCCUGAGAGGGCGACCGGCCACAUUGGGACUGAGAUAAGGCCCAGACGCCUACGGGAGGCAGCAGUGGGGAAUAUUGCACAAUGGGCGGAAGCCUGAUGCAGCAACGCCGCGUGCGGGAUGACGGCCUUCGGGUUGUAAACCGCUUUCAGCAGGGGCGAAGCUUGUGGUGACGGUACCUGCAGAAGAAGCACCGGCUAACUACGUG
rnacentral:rRNA from 1 species